rnacentral:rRNA from 1 species
GACGAAGGGGGCUAGCGUUGUUCGGAAUUACUGGGCGUAAAGCGCGUGUAGGCGGUUGUCCAAGUUGGAUGUGAAAGCCUUGAGCUUAACUCAAGAAAUGCAUUCAGGACUGGAUGACUAGAGGUCCGGAGAGGAUAGUGGAAUUCCCAGUGUAGUGGUGAAAUACGUAGAGAUUGGGAAGAACACCAGUGGCGAAGGCGGCUAUCUGGACGGUUUCUGGCGCUAAGACGCGAAAGCGUGGGGAGCAAACAGG